rnacentral:rRNA from 1 species
UGGGGAAUAUUGGACAAUGGGGGCAACCCUGAUCCAGCGAUGCCGCGUGUGUGAAGAAGGCCUGCGGGUUGUAAAGCACUUUGAGUGGGGAAGAUUGGUGACGUGCUAAUACCAUGUUCACUUGACGUUACCCACAGAACAAGCACCGGCUAACUCUGUGCCAGCAGCCGCGGUAAUACAGAGGGUGCAAGCGUUAAUCGGAAUUACUGGGCGUAAAGGGCGCGUAGGUGGUUGCUCAAGUUGACUGUGAAAUUCCAAGGCUUAACCUUGGGUUGUCAGUCAAAACUAGGUGACUAGAGUAGGGUAGAGGGAAGUGGAAUUUCCGGUGUAGCGGUGAAAUGCGUAGAUAUCGGAAAGAACAUCAGUGGCGAAGGCGGCUUCCUGGACCCAUACUGACACU